CCAGGCUACAGAAAUACUGUGGUUAUCCUAGGGCUUUCCAUAAUCAAGUGUGAUAGAAAUGUGUGCACAUAUAUCAACAUGAACGCUGAAUCUCCAAGUAUUCCAUUAAUAGCUUAUUUGUUACUAGAAUAUUCCUGUGCCGAGAGAUCUGAAGCCAAGCAUUUACGGAGAGGAUUAUUAAAAAACUGACCUGUGAAAGGAAGAAGGCUUGAUUAUAAUGGACUUGCUAGCAGACAGGUGUACAGGAGUUUAGAAAGGAGGCGGAAUCUUGAAAAGAAGUAUAAAUUCAGAUAAUUCCAAAUGUACUGAGUUCACUGUCCAGGUGAGUCCUUUUGAAUAAUAACAGAAGCCCCUAAGUGUUCCCCGCUAUGCUGGGAUUAGGACAUCUGCCUAACUCAAACUUCUAAAACACAGAGUGGCACAGAGCACCCAGCCCCUGUGACUGUGCUGUUCACACCACACAUACAGAUAGCCCCAUUCUCGUGAUGUCAUGCAGAUAUGCUACAUUAAGAUACGAUGAUAGACCAGGACCAGCCAAGACUAAGAGAUAUUCAGCGUCCCCAAGCCCCAAACCCUACUUGGGUCCCAGCUUGGAGAGAAAGUGUGCCCAGGAUCAGGGCCUGACAGUCAAGAGGAGGUUAGGUUGGGGGGUCACGUUAACAUCUAACAGAUGAAGUUACAGAUUAACUCGUCACUGGCAUUGGUUGGUUAAUGUACAAUUUUGUAGGUAACUUCAAUAGUCCUGGCCCAAGUUCAGAGUUAAAAAAAAAAAAAAAAAAAAAAA